rnacentral:misc_RNA from 1 species
GGACAAGCUUGUAGCGGAAGCUAUCCGCUAUAUCAUAUUCAAAACUCAUCAAAAUUCUGGAUGUCCAAUCAAAAGGGAAGAACUUACUCAGCUCAUAACGAAAAAUUAUCGGAAUCGUGGAUUGCCGGCUAUUGUGAUUGAAGAGGCUAAAAAGAAGCUGUCGAGCAUUUUUGGUUAUGAGUUGAGGGAACUUCAAAGAACGCGUCCUUCAUCCACUGGCCAAGCGCAUUCGUCCCAACAAAACGUUGCAGAUGCAAAAUCCUAUGUUCUCAUAAGCAAACUUCCAGCUGAUAUUUAUAGAAAGUAUGUUGAGGAUGUAAAUACAGCACACGUGACUGGUUUUACUUUUGUUGUAGUUAGUG